rnacentral:rRNA from 1 species
GAUGAACGCUGACAGAAUGCUUAACACAUGCAAGUCUUUGGCGAAGCUGUGCUUGCACAGCCUAGCCAAGGCGGACGGGUGAGUAACGCGUAAGGAACUUGCCCUGCAGUCAGGGAUAACAGACGGAAACGACUGAUAAGACCUGGUAAAGUCAGGCGGACUCAUGUCCAGCCUGAUGAAAAGAGAUGCUGCAGGAGAGCCUUGCGUCCUAUUAGCUUGUUGGUGGGGUAACGGCCCACCAAGGCGAUGAUAGGUAGCCGGCCUGAGAGGGUGGACGGCCACAAGGGGACUGAGAUACGGCCCUUACUCCUACGGGAGGCAGCAGUGGUGAAUAGUGGACAGUGGGGGCAACCCUGAUCCAGCAAUUCUGUGUGCACGAUGAAGGUUUUCGGAUUGUAAAGUGCUUUCAGCAGGGAAGAAAAAAAUGACGGUACCUGCAGAAGAAGCGACGGCUAAAUACGUG